rnacentral:rRNA from 1 species
UACAGAGGGUGCGAGCGUUAAUCGGAAUUACUGGGCGUAAAGCGUGCGUAGACGGUUAUGUCAGUCAGGUGUGAAAGCCCCGGGCUCAACCUGGGAAUUGCAUUUGAGACUGCAUAGCUAGGGUGCGGAAGAGGGAAGCGGAAUUUCCGGUGUAGCGGUGAAAUGCGUAGAUAUCGGAAGGAACACCAGUGGCGAAAGCGGCUUCCUGGUCCAGCACCGACGUUCAGGCACGAAAGCGUGGGGAGCGAACAGG